ACUUUUUUAUAUUCUCUUCUAAGAUUAUGAUAACAUUAUAGUAUACUUUUUCUAAAAGCUUGAUUGGUUUAGCUUUUAAGUCUUUAAACAUCUUGAAUAAUUUUUUAUAAGAUUGGGGUCAAAUUCUCAUUUUGUAUUUUCAUUUUGGGUAGAUAAUUAACAAACUAUCAUUCAUUGAAAAUACUUUUAUAUUGAAAUUCACUGUGACUUUGUUUGAAACGAGGUGAAUAUAUGUGUAGGUCUCUGUUACAUUCUGUUGGUCUAUUUUUCUAACCCAUAAUAAUAGACACUAUCUAAAUUAUGGUAAUUUCAUAAUAGAUCAUGAAAUCUGUUGAUGCAGGUCUUUUGAUUUUACUUUUCUUCUCCAAUGUUGCCUUGGCUUUUCUAGUUCUUUUGCACUUCCACAUGAAUUUAAGAUUCAGAUUAUACACAUAUAUACACUGACUUUCAGAUGUCUGAUGCUCUUAUGUCAUUUCAGGAAAGAACACCAGGAAAAAUGUAAACAUAUUUUACAUAAAAUACCAUAAAACCCUCUAGAUUUCUGUUGCCUUAUUAUUUCAGCAGGCUUUCUUAACUUUCUUUUUUCCUUUCUAACUUUUAUUUUGGGUUCAAGCAGUACCUGUGCAGGUUUGUUACAUGGGUAAAUUGUGUGUCGUAGGGGUUUGAUGUACAGAUAAUUUUGUCAGCCAGGUAACUGGCAUAAUGCUGGAGAAGUGGUUUCAAUCCUCACUCCCCUCCCUCCCUCCACCCUCAAGCAGGCUCCAGUGUUAUUGUUCCCUUAUUUGUGUCCAUGUGUAGUCAAUGUCUUAACUUGUUUAGUAGCUGAACAAGUUAGUUGCACUUAGACUUGCAAAACGAACUAUAUGCCUAUUUUUUCCAUUUAAAAAUAGAAACUGAGGCAGAGAGGCAGGUUUUUCAAAUCAACUUUAAUUAAUCUGUUUUCUCUAUGUGUGAUGUUUCAUUCAUAUGUCAGUAAGUUUCCAUGUAUAUACUUUCUUGAUGUGAAAUAUUAGGCUGGUGCGUAUGUUUUUGAUAAUAAAUUUUAUAAUAUCCUCUAAGAUCUUUUAGAUCUAAGUCUCCUCAAAGUUGGCUUAUAUUUCUAAAAUAAGUGAUACAUUUUGUACAUUCUUGUACAAAAGUUAGCCAAUAGCACAUUUCACUUUUCUAGUAUCAGAAUGCUCCAGUACUACAGUUUGCAUUUAGGCAAUGAGGAUUUGUAAACAUUCUGAAUUAAGACCCUUCAAAAAAACUGUUUCACAAUCUUAGAGUAAAAAUAUUAUCAUAUGACUUAAACUUUUCCAGUUAUUUACACAGAAAGUUGUGAUAGUUUGUGGGAUCCCAAAUAUAUCAAAGAACUUUUCUUUAUUAUUUUGCCCUGUGAUUCCAUAGUUAAAGCUGCCCACUCACCCUAAGAUUUCCUAAGUAAGAGGAAGCACUCAAGAAUUUAUUCCCUAAACAAGAUGGUCUAUUAAAGAGUACUAUAAUCUCCACGACUAGACAUAAAAUAAGGGUUACUCAAUUUAAAAUGUAAUAUAUUCAUGCAGAUUCUAAUAACAUUGGAAGAAGAAAAAGUUUAAAAUAAGUAUGAACACAAAUCACUAUCUUGAAUGCAUCAUUAUUAUUGAGUCUGUAUGAAGGGACAGAAGGCAUAGCUAUUUUGGGGGGGAGCUAUCACAAGAUUAGUUUUUAAGAGAAUGGUAACAGAUCCAUGUGAAUAUGUUUAGGAGGCAUUUAAAUAUAGAAAUGAAGCUUAGAAUGUGAUAAAAAUGAAGAUGUACAUCAGGUAAUUAUCCCCUAAAACAAUUUUUAACUAUCUUUUUUUUAUUUUUUAGAUCUUAAUCUGUUUCCUGUCUUAAAUAUUCUAACUAUGGAUGAAGAAAAUGUAUUUGAAUGCUAUAGGUUCUAGACUGAAACAAAUCAUGUAGACUAAGGAUCUAAAACUACUGUUUGAGGGCAUAUGUGAGAAGAUCUAAAUAGGCAACUCAGUUUGCCAAGAAAGAAAAUGUGCAGAGAUAAAUAAAGGAAACAAACUUGCAGGGAGAGUAAGAACAAGCAGGCAACUUUGCUUUCUGCAUGUUCCCAUCUUCCAGUCCGAAAUUUCUGUGAGACCUAGUUAUGAUUAUUUGGGAGGGAAAUGUCUUAAUUACCAUUAAUUCUCCCAGCAAGAGAUGUCCCACUAAACAAAGUUUGCUAACUUAUAUUAUCACAUGCUUAAUUAUUUUAAAAUUGAAACUCACAGAUAAUUGAAACUGGAUGACAACAUUUGGGGAAAAAUACUUAAUGUAGAUGAUGUUUCUUGGAGUUUAUUCUCACACACUAGUCCUGAAAGUUACCUGUCCCCUUAAAAAUUGGGUAUACUGCAUAAAUUAAUUAUGAGAUAUCUCGUACUCUAUGUCACUCCUUGAGACAAAAGGUACCAAAGCACACAUGAUAGGGAGCCACCAGUUUGGAAAACCACGUGUGCUUUCAGUUGUCUCCCCUUUUUCUUUCUUUUCUGCUGUUUAUCACUUAGGUGUAGUGAAGUUUGACCACCUGACAAACUAGAAGACUUGCUGAAAGAGUUCUUAGGAAAAUGUUCUGAUGCUUAUUGGGACUUUAUGCAAAUGGAAUAAAAGCAGGAAUGAUCUCACACCAUGAGUUUUGCUCAAAGUUGAAGACUGGUGCCUAAACUAAAACUGCUAGGACACAUACUCUGUUUUUUUCUUGUCCUAUGGAAACCUUUCUAGUAUGGCUGAUGGUUUUCAGUCAUUUUCAUUAUUUAGAUGUCAUGUACAUCAUAUGAUUUUCUAGAUGACAGUAAUAUAAUUUAAAAAACAUAAAGACUUUCCUUCUUUCCUUAUCUUGAUAGUACACAAAUUCAUGAAUGUAAAUAUUUUAAUGAAGAAAAUGGAGUUAAAUAAAAUGGUUUACUAACUAGAAGAUAUCUCUUAGUAGAAUCAAUUAUAAAAUAUAACAACAUUUUAUGAAAAAGAAAACAUGUACAACUUUGGUAAACAACACAAGCUAAUUUUUACUUUUAAAAUACUUUUAAAAUUAUGAUCAACAGCUAGCAAUAUGAAACUGAUAUCUACCAGGAACAUUCCUAGGUAUUUGUGAUUACUUUAAACAAAAAAAUUCAAAAAAAUAAUUAUUACAUUCAAAGUUGAUAACCUAGAGAGAAUGCUUGUAAAAGUUAAGAAACUUUAGAAAUAGGCAGUUAUAAAUAGCUCAAUUUCCCGUACUUGGGUCUAAGGUAAAAUCAUCACUUUUCUCAAUGUUUCCACAAAAACAGUUGAAUUGUUAUAUUAUCUUAAUAGUUUGUAAAUAGACCUCAAAUUACCCCUUUUUAUAGUGCUACAUUUUAUCCUACAAAAGAGUAGUUACGUAGAAGAAUGACAAUAAAUGAUGAUGAAGACACACCAAAUGUGAAGCAUACAGGCACACCUCAUUUUAUUAUGCAUCAGUGUAUUGCACUUUGUAGAUAUUACAUCAUUUAGAAAUUGAAGGUCUGCGGCAACCCCGUGUUGAACAACUAUAUUGGUGUCAUUUUUUUUUCAAUGGCAUGUGCCCAUUUUUUGUCUCUGUGUCACAUUUUGGUAAUUUGUGCAAUAUUUCACACAUUUUUAUUAUUAAUAUAUUGGUUAUGGUGAUCUGUGAUCAAUAAUGUUUGAUAUUACUAUUGUAAUUGUUCUGAGGCGUCAUGAAUUGCCUCCACAUAAGAUGGCAAACUUAAUCGAUAAAUGUUGUGUAUUGUUAUUGCUUCAAUGACUGGCCAUUUCUCUGUCUUUCCCCUUUUUCUUGGGCCUUCCUAUUCCCAGAGAUACAACACUAUUAAAAUUAGGCAAAUUAGUAAUCUUAGAAUGGCCAAUAAAUAUUCAAAUAAAAUGAAGAGUUGUACAUGUAUUACUUUAAUCAAAAGCUAGACAUGAUUAAACCUGGUGAGGAAGGCAUGCCUAAAGCCAAUAUAGGUGAAAAGCUAUGCCUCUUGUGCCAAACCAUUAGCCAAGUUGUGAAUGAAAAGAAAAAGUUCUAGUAAAACAUUAAAAGUACUUAUUAAUUAGUUCAGCCAUUGUGGAAAGCAGUGUGGCGGUUCCUCAAAGAUCUCAGAAAAAAAUUAACAUUUGACCCAGCAAUCCCAUUAUUAGGUAUGUACCCAAAGGAAUAUAAAUCAUUCUACCAUAAAGACACAUGCACACAUAUGUUCACUUCAGCACAAUUCACAAUAGCAAAGACAUGGAAUCAACCUAAAUGUCCAUCAGUGGUACACUGGAUAAAGAAAACAUAGUACAUAUACACCAAGGAAUACUAUACUGCCAUAUAAAAGAAUGAGACCAUGUCCUUUGCAGCAACAUGGGUGGAACUGGAGGCCAUUAUCCUAAGCAAACUAACACAAGAACAAAAGACCAAAUACUACAUGUUCUCACUUAUAAGUGGGUGCUAACCAACAAGAACACAUGGAUACUAGAAGGAGAACCACAGACACUGGGGCCUACUUGAGAGUGAAGGAUAGGAGGUGGGAAGGCAUCAAGAAAAUACUUAUUGAGUACUAUGCUUAUUACCUGGGUAACAAAAUUGUAUGUGCACCAAACCCUCAUGAAACACAAUUUACUUACAUGGCAAACCUGCACACAUAUCCUGGAACCUAAAAUAAAAGUUAAAACAAGAAAAAUAAAAAAACUCCUGAAGCUUAAAAAUAUAUGUGUGUGUGUGUGUGUGUGUGUGUGCGUGUGUAUGUCUCCAGUGAGUACACAAAUGAUAAGAAAGUGAAACAGCCUUUUUGCUGACAUGGGGAAAGUUUUAGUGGUCUGAAUAGAAAAUCAAACCAUCCACAACAUUCCCUUAAACUAAAGUCUAAUGUGGAGCAAAAACUUAACUUUUGUUUUAAUCCUCUGAAGGCUGAGAGGGGUGAGGAAGCUACAAAAGACAAGUUGAAGCCUAGCAAGUUUGUUUUAUGAGGUAAGGGAAUAAGCCAUUUCCAUAACAAAGAAUGCAGGUGAAGCAAUAGGUGCUGAUGGAAAAGUUGCAGCAAGUUAUCCAAAAGAUGUUGCUAAGAUAAUUGAUGAAGGUGGCUCCAUUAAAUAUUAGAUUUUUACUGUACAUAAAACAGCCUCAUAUUGGAAGAAGUUGCCAUCUGGGACUUUUAUAGCUAGAGUGGAAAAGUCAAAGUCUGGGUUCAAAAUUCAAAGGUAAGGCUGAUUUUUUUUGUUAGAGGCUGAUGCAACUGCUGACUUUAAAUUGAAGUGAAUACUGAUUUAUCAUUCUGAAAACCCCAGAACCCUUAAAAAUUGUGCUAAAUCUACUCUGCCUGUGCAUUAUAAAUGGAACAACGAAACCCAGAUCACAGCACAUCUGUUUAUAGCAUGGUUUACUAAAUAUGUUAACUCCAUUGUUGAAACAUACUAAUAAAAAAAAGAAAAAAAAGAUUUUUUUUCCAAAUAUUAAUGCUCUUUGAAAAUGCACCUGGUCACCUAAGAGCUCUGAUGGAAAUGUACCAGUAGAUUAAUGUUGCUUUCAUGCCUGCUAACAGUGAAUCAAGGAAUAAUUUAGACUUUCAAGUUUUAUUAUUUAUAAGAUGCAUUUCAGAAGACUGUAUGUUCCACAGAGAGUAAUUUCUCUGAUGAAUAUGGGAAAACUAAAUUUAAAAUCUAUUGGAAAGGAUUCACCAUUCUAGAUGCCUUAAGAACAUUGGUGAUUUGUGGGAGAAAGUCAAAAUAUCAACUACAAUAGGAGUUUGGAAGAAGUUGAUUCCAAUCCAUGUGGAUAAUUUUAAAGGGUUCAAGUUUCCAGCAAAGGGAGUAACUUAAGAUGUGGUAGAAAUAUUCAAACAACUGGAAUUUGAAGUGGAGCCUGAAGAUGUAAUUGAAUUGCUGCAAUCUCAUGAUAAAACUUUAAUGGGUGAGGGGUUGCUUCUUAUGAAUGAGGGGGAAAAGUGGUUUCUCAAAAUGGAAACUAUUCCUGGUGAAGCUGUUAUGAGAAUUGUUGGAAUUAACAACAAAAGAUGUAGAAUAUUACAUAAACUUAAUUGAUAAAGCUACAACAAGGUUUGAGAGGAUUGACUCCAAUUUUGAAAGAAGUUUUACUAUGGGUAAAAUGCUGUCAAACAGCAUCAUAUGCUACGGAGAAAUCUUUCAUGAAAGAAAGAGCUAAUUGAUGUGGCAAACUUCAUUUCUGUCCGUUUUUAAGAAAUUGCCACAGUCACCCCAACCUUCAGCGACCACUGCGUUGAUCAGUCAGCAGCCAUCAAAACUGAGAAAGACACUCUACCAGCAAAAAGAUCACGAAUAGCUGAAGGCUCAGAUGAUUGACUUUUUAGCAAUGAAGUAUUUUUUAAAUUAAGGUAUGUACAUUGUUUGUUUAGACAUAAUGCUAUUGAAUACUUAAUAGUCUACAGUAUAGGGUCUGGCGUGGUGGCUCACGCCUGUAAUCCCAGCGCUUUGAGAGGCCAAGGUGGGCAAAUCACAAGGUCAGGAGUUCGAGACCAGCUUGGCCAACAUGGUGAAACCCCGUCUCUACUGAAAGUACAAAAAUUAGUUGGGCAUGGUGGUGAGAGCCUGUAAUUCCAGCUACUCGGGAGGCUGAGGCAGGAGAAUUGUUUGAACCCAGGAGGCAGAGGUUGCAGUGAGCCCAGAUUGCGCCAUUGAACUCCAGCCUGGGAAAUGGGGCAAGACUCCGUCUCAAAAAGAAAAAAAAAAAAUAGUUUACAGUAUAAUGUAAACAAAACUUUCAUCUGCACUGGGAAAACAAAAAAAAACUUUAUGUGACUUGUUUUAUUGUGAUAUCUGCUUUUUUGAGGUUAUCUGGAACUGGACGCACAAUAUCUCCAAGAUAUGGAUGUAAUAACUAUUUGUGGUAUAUUGUCUUGUUCUCAAAUUAUUAGUAGUCUUUCCAGUUGAGCCCCUUUCUGGGAUCCCUCUUGGAGGAAGAAUUAUUGCCUGCCCUAUUGAUGUCAGGCCUAGGCAUGUGACAGGAUUUGGAAAAUAAACUGAAGUGUGCAUUUCUGAUUUAAGAGUCGUUGUGUGGCCCCACUAAUUCUUUUUACUCUGCCCUUUCCUAUAUGUAUGCCGCUCCUCAAGCUUUAGUCCUGGCCCGCAAAUGAUGUCAGGCAGAGUUAAAACUAAGCCAGGAUUGCCAUUCGCUGUGUAAGGGGAAUUUUUUUUUUUUUUUUUUGGUGCCCCAGAAAGAUUUCAAACUUAAACUGCAGCAUAAACCAGAGAAAGCAGAUUGAUAGAUUCAUCAAUGUAAAUGAUUAGCUUUAUUUUUCCAGUGACUGAUUUUAGGAAUCUGUAUCUGAUUCCAUUUAGAAAUUGUGCUGGAAGACUUCUGGGAAAAGUUCCUUUGCUCCAAUUAGGAGACACUGAAGAUAAAGGAAAUGGCCUCUAUCCUUCUUCUGGUGCCCUUAACGUUAAUUCCUGGAACUCCUACAACCAUCUCAUAACAAUCAUGGAGGAAGGCAAACCCUAGAGAUUCACAGAAAACCAGAACUGAAUCUCUAAUUCACUUGGCUUGAGCUCGGCAUUUCUCUUUCCUGCCGCCUUGUGAAGAAGGUGCCUUCCUUCCCCUUCACCUUCUGCCAUGAUUGUAAGUUUCCUGAGGCCUCCCCAGCCAUGCAGAACUGUGAGUCAAUUAAACUUCUCUCUUUCAUAAAUUACCCAGACUCUGGUAGUUAUUUACAGCAGUAUGAAAAUGGACCAAUACAAUGAGCCAUCCUUUCCUUUCCUGAAUAAAUCAAAACAAUAAUAUUCUGAGAGAGGCACCACUCCUUUCAAAUAUCAAUUCUCUUAUCCUUCUGCAGUAGGUAUCUCGAUUUUUAUCUUGGCAAAUUGCUGCCCAAGUACAAGAACACUUUAUCUAGUUUCUACUGCAACUGUGUUUGGUCUAUGUUCAAGGUUUGGCCAUUCCCAGGUAAGUGAAAGUGUUUAGUGCAGUUUCCUGGAAAAGUUCUCAAAGGAGAGGCUGCACAUUUUACCUCUAUAUCCAACCUUAAAGUGUGAAGCAAAUAUGAUGGCUGAAGCUCCAGCAGUCAUCUUGGACCAUAAGAGUCAAGGACAUAUCUUAGGAACUGUAGACUGGAGAAUUGGAAGCAGCCUGGGUCACUGCAGUUUGUGGAGCCAAGUCAGUACACCAUAAUAUACCCAUACUUGCCUUUUCUACUUCUGGACUUCUGUUAGGAGGAAUUGACAAACCUUUAUCUGUGUUAAAUCUCUGCUAAUUGCAUUUUUGGAACUUCUGUUGUAUUGAAUCCAUUUUAUAUUUACAUUGUUGAUACAAGGGUAUGUUAAUGAAAAAUGGCUAACUUUUUUGUUUUCUGAUAAGCAAAGGUUUUUUAAGGUGAGAUAUUGGCACUAUAAUAAAGCAGUUAACAAAUAAUAACUUUAGGAAUUUGCAAAAAUAUAUCCAUGUGGGAUAAAAGGGGGCAAAGAGAUCUUUAGAAGGUCUCAGAGUCUAAGACAUGAGAAUAUAAAAAAACAUAUUUUAGGUGGAUCAGUCAGGCAGUGAAAUAUUGAGGCAAUGUGAUUCAUAUAAUGUAGAAAUAAAAUAAGAGAGCACAUUGUUAAGCAAGCAACCAUUAAAUACCAAGGCUGAGUGGAUAGAGAGGAAAUAUUCAGGUGGCAUUGGCAAGAACCUUAACUUCUCAGGAAGCAGGGACAAAGACCAAGUCAGGGUAACAGAAACAUCAAGACUGGCCACAUCCAUUUAAAAAUCAAAUUGUGUAAGUGGUUUAGAUAAGUUAGAGGAUUUUUAUACUUAAUAAAUGGUAAAUAUUUUUUCAUUACUCAGUAAGAAUACUCUGUUUUAUUUAGUAUAUGACAAAACUAAAACUCUGCAUUUGAUUAGAAACCUAAGCUAAAAUUUUGUUUUAUAUAUGUAUAUAUUUAUUUAGAUGCCUGUGUAAUUCAUUGCUGAUGUAUAACUUACUGGUUACCCUGGACACUGAAGUAUUCCUCAAGCAUCUCACAAAAUCAGUGACAAAAUUGGGAUCGUGACAGACAAUGAAAUUGCUGUGUAAACUAUGAAGUGCUAAAGCCAAUUAAAAUAUCUCUAUUACUAUCUUGUUUUCUGAAAUGCAGUUUCCUCAUUGUAACCAUUGACUAGCUCCAUUGGUUGGGUGUUUUUGAUUAUUUAAUGACUACAUGCCUAUUAAGGUGACAUGGAAUAUUAUGAGAUGUCAUGCAAAUGCUGAGUAUUUUGAAAUACUUGCUAGGAUUAUUAUUUCAUGCUUUAUGAUUAUGAUUUACUGUAGCACAAUAUGUAUUCAUGUUUUGUUUUUCUUUGAUGUAUCUUAUCAGGUCUAAAAAGGGAGAAUGUUCAUAGAUUAAUCUAUUCAUUGGUGAUGAUUUACAAAUUUUGUGGUAAAAUAUAGGCAUCAAUGGAAUACUACUACUAGUGUUUUAUUAAAAGAAAAGGUUUUAUCAACCAAGGGGAGUAAAAGGAUUUUUGCUAUCAUUUCCUGAAGGCAACUAUUGAUUAAUGUUUCUGUAUUUACAGAAAGCAGACGGACUCUUUAAAAACUUAUUUGCAAAACAAAUAUCAUAUUUACCUUGUGUCUGUACUUCAUAGGAAAAGGGGAGAUUCCUCCAAAAGGGCUCUACUAGCAAGAAACCUGGAAACUAAUGAAAUAGGAAAAAAAUCAAGACAUAAAAACAUCAAUAAACUUUAUUAGAUCGAAGCUUCUGUACAAAAUUCAUUAAAGAAAGUUUCAAAAGUAAUGAAAGACACAAAAAAAUUAGAUCAGUUGAAUUUCAUGAAAAUUAAGGAGUAUUGUGCUUUAGAAAACACCAAGAAGAAAGUAAAAGGACAACUAGCAAAUUUAGAUAAAAUAUUUGCAAAUCAUGUAUCUGAUAAGGGAAGUAUUUAUGUAGUAUACAAAAAAAACUAUACAAUUCAAUGCUAAAAAUACAAGUAGCUUAAUUUUUAAAAUGUAAAAAGGAUCUAAAACAUUUCUUCAAAGAAGAUACACAAAUGGCCAUCAAGCGCAUGAAAAGAUGCUCAAUGUCAGUAGCUUCAGGAAAUGCAAGUCAAAAUCGCUGUGAAAUACUACUUCGCCCUGACUAGAAGAAGGACUGUCAUCAAAAAGCCAAACAAUAAGUGUUGGAGAGCAGGCAGAAAAAUUAGAACUCUCAUGAACUGUUGGGAAUAUAAGAAGUGGAUAAGGUUAAAAUUCCAAGCUUUCAGUGAAAAUAUAAGCACAAGCAUAAUCUGUUAUAGUGAAAGUAUGAAGGAAUAUUCAAUUUUAAAUGACUGCUGUUGAAAAUAAUUAUAGCUAGUUGGAGACACAGAAAAUAUAUUUAAUAUCUCAUAUAUCAGAGGCCAAUAAUGGAUAUGAUAUAUAAAUAAUAUUCCCGCUAACGAUUCACAUCCUCCCAUGCGAUAAAAGCCAACAUAGAACCAGCUCAAAUUACUUUUUUUUUUUUUUUUUUUUUUUUUGGAGAUGGAGUCUCACUCCGUCACCAGGCUGGAGUGCAGUGGCUUGAUCUUGGCUCACUGCAGUCUCCACCUUCUGGGUUCACAUGAUUCCCCUGCCUCAGCCUCCUGAGUAGCUGGGACUACAGGCGCACACCACAACGCCCAGCUAAUUUUUUGUAUUUUAGCAGAGAUGGGGUUUCAAUAUGUUGUUCAGGAUGGUCUUGAUAUCCUGACCUCGUGAUCUGCCUGCCUCAGUCUCUCAAAGUGCUGGGAUUAAGGCUUGAGCCACUGCGCCCGGCCUCAGCUCAGAUUCCAAAAGAAAUUAGUAGGACAGAUAUAAGUAAACUUUAAGAAACUGUUGAUAGCAGGAAUUCUCACAUUUGAUGAGGUCCUGGAAUGGAGUGAUGAAAAGUUGAAGAAUAUGGUGGCAAAGAAAAUAGGACACUGCACAUCCAGUUUAUUAAACAGAUUUUUUAUUAAACUUUUUAGCCCUCAGUUUUCAAUAAAAGUUCAUUUGCAGAAAAGUUUUAUCUUUCUAAAACUGUCACUUCAGUGGCCAGCCUGGAAUGUUGGUAGAUUCAUAGUUUUACAGACCUAUCCAGUUUUGUUGUCUGGUUCUUGAUUAUAUGUCAAUGGUCAGAGCUAAAAAUGGAAUAAUAACUAAUGAAUCAUCUUGACAGGUAAAAAUACUAUACAGUGAUUUAUAAUGGUAUUUGCUUAUGACAAAUUUUUUCCAGAAUUGUCCCUAACUCAGUUGUUUUCAUUGUGUCAGGUUUCAUGAAGAAAAAUAAUAUUGCUUAGAAACAUUAAAUUUCUUUAUACUUAAUGUUGAUGCCAUCAAGUAGUUCUUUAUAAGACUGAACAUAACUAGAAUUUGAAUUACUUAUAACUCUUGCUUAAGUAGAAUAGUUUAAACAAAUCUUCAAAGAAAAGCCAAAUCACUUUUGGUUUAUUAAUAUGUCAAAGUGACUAAGAAAAAUGGAGCAUUUGAUGGUGAUAUAACUUUCGUAUCAUCAUUGAACUUUCAGUGCUGUUGACCUUAGCACAAUAUAGUACUAAAACAAAGAUGUCUUUCUUCACACUUCCCAGAUAUCAUUUGAAAUAAGUAAUGGGAUACACACAUGAGGUAAAUUAUUAAAAAAUUAUUUAUAUCAAUUAGAAACCUUCCAUUUUGGUAGACAAAAUGCAUCUUGAACUAAAGCCACAAAAAGGAGAAUGUAGUGGCGCAACAAAAUUUACCCAUGAAAAGAGAGAUGAACGUGAAGUCAGGUUCAAUCAGUUGAGAGAUUUGAAUAGAUGCAGAAUUUCUCCUUCAUUUCAUAUUUCUGUUGUUCUUUGUAUUUUAUCACCUUUUUGUCCUGGUAAAGAUAGGUAGUUGAGUCCUAGUCUAUGUAUGUAACAAUAACAGUUGGAAGUUCUGGAUUUGUAUCGAGCCAACUCAGAGACUAAAAGUAAAGAAGACUUCUCUUGACACCUUAAUACAUGAAAUUCCAGAAAUUGAGCGUGGUUAGCUUUGAGGAGAUUUUGCCACUCAGGCUCUAUCAAUCACUGUGGGUUAUAGUGUUUGUCCCAGACUAGAUUGCUUGUAAUUCAUAUGGAAAUACUACGGGCCCAGAAUAGUCAAAUCAAUGUUGAAAAGGAAAAUGGAUUUCAUCACUCACUACAAAACUACAGUAAUGAAUACAGUAAGGUACUGGCAUAAAGACAGACAUAUGAAUCAAUGGUGUACAAUUGAGAGUGAAAAAUAAGCUCUUGACUUUAUAGUUAGCUGAUUUUCAGCAAAAAUGCUAAGAAAAUUCAAUGGGAAAAAUAAUUUUUUUCAACAAAUUAUGCUGAGACAAUUGGUUUCUACAUUCAAAAAACAAAUUUGGAGUGGUUUCACAUCACAGAAAAAAAGUUAUCUGAAAGUGCAUGGCUGAUCUAAAUGUAAAAGCUAUGGUAAAACCUUUAGAAGUGAACAUUUAUAAGCUUAGGUUGUGCGGCAGGCAGAGGUUACAAUGAGCUGAAAUUGUGCCACUGCACUCCAGUCUGGGCAAAAAAGAGAGACUCCAUCUUGAAAAAAAUAUAUAUAUAUAAUCUUGGGUUAGGCAAUGAUUUCUUAGAUAUGAUACCAACGAAACAAGUGAUAAUAUAAAAAUAUUUCCAGAGUAUACAUCACAAGACUUAUAUCCAAAACAACAACAAAAAACUCUUACAACACAACAAUAAAAAGACAGAUAACUCAGUUAAAAAUGAGCAAAGAUCUGAAGAUACAUUUUUCUAAAGAAGAUACAUGUAUGACUAAUAAACACAUGAAAAAGAUGCUCAAUAUUAUUAGCCAUUAGGGAAAUGCAAGUCAAAGCCACAAGAUGUUCCUUCACACUGACAAUGGUGUCUACAAGAAAAAAGACAAAUAAUAUCGGGUGUUGGCAAGGAUGUAAAACAACCAACACCUUUAUACACUGUUGGUGAGAAUGUAAAAUGAUACAGCCACUUAUUAAAACAGUCUGUCAGUUUCUCAAAAUGCUAAAUGUUUACUUAUCAUAGAAUCCAGCAAUUUUACUCAUAAGUAUAAUAUAUUCACAAGAGAAAUAAAAAUAUAUGUCCACACAAAGAUUUACAUAUGAAUAUUCAUAGGGAUAUUAUUCACAAUAGUAAAAAAAGCAGAAACAACUCAAAUGUUUGCUAAUUGAUAAAUAGAUAAAGUUUGGCAUACCCAUACAAAAGCAUAAUAUUCAGCAACAUGAAGGAAUGGAGUACUGAUACAUGUUACCACAAGGAUGAACCCAAAAAUCAUUAUGCUAAGUGAAAGAAGACACAAAAUAACACGUAAUAUAUGAUUUUAUUUAUAUGAAAUACCAAAAAUAGGUAAAUAUAUAGAGAUGGAAAAUAAAUUAUUAGUUGCUUGGGG
rnacentral:lncRNA from 1 species